AGAAGAAAAAGGACGAACGAAGACCCGUGCUCGCCCGGUUUUCCAUUCCCAAUCGCCCGAUUCGGCGAUUACCCAAGUCCAUCACCGACGCCGCUCUCCUUCCUGCGCCCGCCGCCUCCGCCCGCAUCCGGCCCCGCCGGCCAAGAUACAUGGACAGCCCGUCGCCGCCGCGCGCCGCCAUCGACUCUGGAUCGGCCGCCGCUGCCAUGGAGCAUAAACGGCCGCCGCCGCGUUGCCGCCAUGGAGUCACGAGUCACGACCCGUUACAAACUUCUUUGGCUCUACACCACCAUCAAUUAAGAAUUAUCGGCGAGUUCUGUUUCUUGUAGCUGUAGGUAAUUCUGAUGCUCAUCCGACCUGCUAUCAUCUCACUAAAUUAAAAGCAUGGUCUUAUUAAGCCAAUAUUUGUUCCCACCUGCCAUUCCCGUAAGCCCAUACGGGUCCUGAUUACUGAAUCAUACUAUUCUUGGAUGAUUUUUUUUGGGUACAGUAUGAACAUAAGGACGAAAUAAGCAGUUCCUGCUUUGUGAUUUUUUAAGCAAGCUGACAUUCGCUUUAAAUUCUUUGCCUAUGGUGAGCUGGACUAUGAUUUUUUCCUCCUGUGACCUGAAAGAGAUCGUAUUAUAUAUGGCUGAAACAUAUGAUGCAAACUUUGUUAAGACGCCAGUGACAUAUAUUGCAUUACUGUUUAACUGUGCAAACUUGUUUCAACUGCAGUUAUUUUAGCUAAUGUGUAACAUGUUAGUAAAUCGUCUGCCCAUCACCAGGCAUUAGCUACAGCUUUACCACUUUUCAGUGAUUUGAUCCUGAUAUGUGUAAUAGGUGACCGAUAGUUCAGACCGUGUACUAAUAUGAUAGGCGACGUAUCAGUUUUGUUUUGCACGAAUGCCAGGCCAUUUUUUAGUGAACAAAUUGGAGCCACAGUAUCUACUUCAUGACCGCAUAAAAGUAUAUGAGUUAUUGUCACUGAAGAACUCAUUCACUUCUUUGUUAUUCAAUAGAACCAUCUUUAUAUUCUGAUCAAAAUCAAAUACUCUCCAGGGUAAUUUAUCUCUUUAUCUGUACAAUACCUUGUAGGCUUGUAUUCAGCAGCGAUCUUUUCCUGUAUGCUAUCAAGUUAGUGCUUCGUUAUAUUGGUCAUGGUUCUCAGUAGGACUGAAAGUGCUUGCCGGGACUUAGUUUAUUGUCUGCUCGUGCAAGUGCAAGUGCAAGCUGCUGCUCCAUGACUGAUGGUGAGGCCACGAGGUGUGUUUGCAGUUUGCCUGCCCCGAUUAAUUCAGACAAAAAAGGGACAAUGGUUCCUCUUUUUCCUUUGUGCAGUUCCAGUUAGAUGGUCAAUUUGUGUAGAAGCACCGGUGUUACGUGCUGAUGCUGCACUUUCUUGUUGUACAUUUUGGUUGCAAUGGGUUGAUCUGCUCAUUUUUCGACUUUAAUUGCAUUGUUCUUACAGGUUGCUGUGAUACAUAGCUCAUCUGUCUGCACAUUGAUCAGGGAAAAUAAACGCUCUGGAAUCAUUCAGUUAUUUACUGCAGAUGUGUCAACUAAAUAUUCGGUGAUAUGAUUGUAGCUUAUGUGUGUUGUGUAUGAAGGAGCACAACCUACCAUUCCUCACGAUAUACAUGUGCAGAUUCUGAUAUCUUUUGGCCUCCUAAUUUUGAGUUUAUGUCUUCUGUCAGGUGUAGGACCUUGCCAAUUUGAUCAAGCUUUACAUGGUCUGAUACAACUCCUUUGAACAGUUUGUGCGCAAAGUUGAGAAAGUUGGGGCCACUAAUCACGUUAGACUCAUUACAGUUGAUAGGGGACUGUAUUUUCAUGUCCAAAGGCAAUGGAAAAAGCAAUGACCUGCACUACAUCCAGGUGAAUAACUCAUAAAGUACAACAUAGGUAUGAGAUUAUGAAACAUCUGCAAACACGGAAGCAUAUCCGUGGAAUGACUGAUGAUUGAGUAGAUGAUGGGCUAGCCCUAAAGAAAGCCGAUAUUGGUAUUUUCUAUUGCUGAUGCAGGUAUGAGUGCUUCAGAUAUUGUCCUCACAGAACCUGGCCUUAGUGUGAUCAUCAGUGAUGUCCUUAGAAGCCAUGCUCUUUUCUUUCCCAAGUUAAAGGUUAGAACUUAAAAUAGAGAAGAGUUUUUGUUUUGCUUUGAUAUUGGUUAGUCUAUUCAUUUGUGUGAAGGAAACUGUGUGAUAUUGGUUAGCAUUUACAUUUGAUUUCUUCCAGAAAUUUGUAGUAUACUUAGUUGAUGGUUCUUGAAUAUGAAUUAGUCUUAAGUGUGGUGCCGGAUAAUUUAACAAAAGAUCCAGUUGUGCCGUUUGAUGUUAAUUUGCAUUAUAUUUAACUGGGCUCUAUUUAGGUAUGCUGCAUACAUGUUGUAUACAGUACAUAUUUAAUUGGAAUCGUGUUUCCUUAUUUGUUAGUACAUGUCUUGAUUGCAGCAUCAUAAUACCCCUUUGCAAUUGAUGCCAGCAUGCGCAAGACAUAAUAUUUGCAAGAUGAACCUAACAUUUUCAGCGUGGUUGUAAACAAUUAGAAAUCACAUGAGCAUCACUGAAUUAAAAACAAAACAUACUGCAACGCACUGGUACAUUACAAUUCUUAUUAAGCGAUAAAUAGUUUAUAUCUCCGUUGCAACGCACGGGCAGUUAGCUAUUCCUUAAAAUAUGAGUUUACUUGGAUAAAUUAGCAUAAAAAACAAAAUUUCCGUGGCCAUGAGUUGGUAUGAAUAUGUUUCUAGGGUGGUUCAAUUCUAGGAAUCCAUGCACAUCAAUUAUUUGAGAGCCCGAUUUUUUUUUAACCAAAACUUACGUAGACUCUUCGUUUGUGACAAAUUUUCAUUGGAUACAUUUUUUAAGGUACUCCAUCCGUUCUAAACAUAAGAUGUUCUACUACAUCUUUAUGCUAAAUCAGACUUCCUAUCCAAGUUUAUAUUACAUUUAUUUAGAAAUGGAAGUAGUACUUCGUAUGGCUCCAUCCGUUCUAAACACGUAAUGUUGUUGGCAGGCAAGGUCGACACGCUGACAUGACAAGUUGGUCAACAAAGCUAAGUAGUGGAGUGAUUUUAGUGGCUUUGGUAAACAUAAGACAUAAAUUUUGGUUUCAUAAACACGACCUCUUACACAUAACCAAUACUCACAAAGGCUUGGUAAAUAGGACUUCUCAUGUCAUUUUGGACAACUGUAUAAUUAGAUUAAAGUUUAGUUUUUUCUAUUUUCAGAAAUGAGUUUACAGCAUCUCCAAUGACAUCCCCCAAAGCUAUCCCAAAUGUCUUAUUUGGGGAUAUGAAUAUUUUGCCCCCAAAAUCAUCUCCCAACGGUAUCCCUUAAAUGAACAAAAUGUCAUGUUUGUCCGGACACAUCCCCAAACUUACCCUAAAUUUGGGAGAGGUUUGGAGUGUCCGGACAUUGUCCGGUCCUCUCUUUUGUCCGCCCCGGCCCCACAACAAGAGAUGGGAAAAGGAGAAGAAAAUGUGAAAAUGAGAGAAAAAAUGGAUAAAGAGAAGGAAAAUCUAAUUUGGGAGAGAAAUUUGGGUGGUGUGGUUGGGUGAUGAGGGCGGACAUGGGGCGGACACAUGUCCACUUGCUCCCCCAAAUGAACAAAAAAAAGGACAUUUGGGGGAUCCCAUUGGAGUUACUCUAAGCUAACUCCUAAUUGAGUUGAUGUUAUUGUAGAUUUGUUCCCUUAUGCUUUGUUUCUUCUUGGGUAAAGCAUAUAUCUUUUUUAACCAAGUACUUGAAGAGUUUAAAUAGAGUACACAAAAGUCAUUUCACUAGGGUGCAGUUUUAGGUUGGUGGAAGAUCCCGAACAGUCGCUUGUAAAUCAGUGUUCAAAUAUUUUUGUAGGAUACAUAUUUAUUAAUUAUUAAAAGGGUCUAACUAUGGCACCGUUGAUUCAGAAAUACUUAUUUCUCGGUCGCAUACCCUAUUACUUGCGCACGUAUUCUUGUUGCCUUAGUUACACAUAAUUAUAUUGUGCAAUUUCUUAGUACUAAUUGUGCAAAUUACUUGUUGAGAAAUAGAAAAAUGUUGUCAUUAUGUAAAUUAAAAAAACUUGUUAGCUCAACAUGGAUGCACAACAGGAGUGGGUCGGGCCGCCCCAUGCGGGCCGAACCGUUUUCUUUCGCCUUUGGUUUCGGAUCGAGGUCUGGGCUCUUCUUGAUGAGGACAUCCCUAAUCCUUUGUCAUCAACCCCAAUUGAUGAUGUUGCUGCACCAGACAAGCCCAAUGAAGUUAGACUUGGGCCAAUAACAAGAGCACGUGCAAAGCUACUUGAGCAACAGAUUUGAAGAUGACUCAAGCAUUGCACGUGGAGGAGGAGAGUUGCAGCAAGAUCCAUUGCUACUGAUUUCCAAUAUCAAGAAGAGCGCGAGGGAGGAGAGGGAGGCCGGCGCACCACAUGAAGAGAAGGAAAUCCAACAGCAAUAGAAGUCGAUAUGGCUGAUGGUAAGACAAGUCCUAUGACACGUCAAACAUGUAUAAGGCAUCAACGCACGUUGAGGGAGAGUUGGGCCUGCGUGCCCCUAGUUUUGGCUGAAUCCAACGUUUUGGGUCAACUUGUAUCAAGUUUGGGUUGAACCAAGUUCGAGUCUGAGUCCAUUUAGGUUGCUGGCCGUCCACCCUCCUAUAUAAGCUGAGGGGCGCCCAUGAUUAAGGUUAGACCACGUUUAGAUUAUUCAGAACCUUUCAUUAAACAGCUGCAAGCAUUCAUCUGAAAUUAUAUUCCUCUUUAAUUCGAUCAGGAAUUUAUCUUCA